GUGAUAAUUGGACAACAGGAUUGCUAAAGUCCCUUCCGGCACUAACAUUCCACGAGUCUAUGAUUCUAUGCAGUAGACAUCCAGCAUACAUGGGGGCUAAUGAUAGGAAUGAAAAUCAAGGAAAAUGUUCACGUUUUACAAUGGUGGUGCUGAAAAGAGAGUCCAGGAAUCAUCAAGUUAUUUCUGCUAAAGUCCUGUCUUCCUUAACUGACUUGUUCAAGUCCUGCCAGCAGGGGACAGCAGUGCUUCAUGUUUCAAAAAACCAAACUAGUGUGGUUUUAUGGCCUUCAGCUCCUUCAGGAUGCCUGGGGAGAGCCUUAUUCUGGCGGUGCAUGACCACACUAGACUCCAGUAGGUCAAGAAUACUUCAAUGACAGAUGGCAGACAGUGGAUUCCAUGAGACUCUGACACGGCACGGCCACCAGGAAAUCCAAACUGGACAGUAUAUACUAAUGCCCUUUGGGGCCCCACAAGGAGGUAAAUUUCCUUCUCUGGAUAACCAGAGCUGAGCAUCUAAAAACAGCCUCAAGGAACAGUUAGCCUUCAACUGAAAAGAUAACAUAAUAGGUCAUGGACGUGGUUAGAAAGCAUGUGGGAAUCUAAUCUAUAGAUAGUGUGGUGCCACGAAAAGGCCACUAUAUUUGGAGUUUAAAGAUCUGAGUUCAAAUUCUACCUAUGCCUCUAACCAUCUGUAUAACUCUGGACAAGUCACUUCUCUAGGUCUCAGUUUCUUUCUUGGAGAUAGUCAAUAAACAUUUGUUAAGCACCUACUGUGUGCCA
rnacentral:lncRNA from 1 species